AUGAUUGGAAUGGGAAAUUUUUUAUGUUACCUCAUCUAAUUGGAAUAUGAAGACAACGACCAUGUUAAUCCAAGACAAUGGUGAACAUUUUUGUCAAAAUGUGGAUUCACAACGAUAAAUUAAGGAGAAUCUCAAUGGGAUACUCAUAGUGGAUUUCACAAUGUUUUACUCAUGUGGUGGACAAAACUCUCAAUUAAUAGAGUUUCACUGCAAUCUCUAGAGAAAAACUUAUCAAGUGAAAACAAAUAUGUAGUUGCCUCUGCCCUUGUUGCAUGACCUUUAGGGGUAAAUGAAUACGUUUUCUCACAAAGCUUUUGAUUUCGUUCUUUUUCGAUUUUUGUUGGUUUUGUUUGUUGAUUUAUCUUCAAUCUAUAUCCCUAAUUCAUUUCCUUGUGGAGUAUUAUUAUUAGGCGCUUCUUGCAUUGUUAUUAUCUUGGUUCUUUUGAAUGACAUUGAAACUUAAGCUUAAUUAAUUAAUCGGUUUGAAAAAUAUAUAUAUAUAUAUAUAUAUAUAUAUAUAGAAAAUGUAAUUCUUUGUUCAAACAAACGUAAUUCAUGUAGUUUAGAUGAUUUUGAAACACUAUUAUAAUUCUUUCAUUGUUAUUUUUUCUUCGUAAUAAGGUUUUUAAAAUAAUUUUAACAUUAUCAAACUGAUUCGAUUUGUAAACUAAACUAACCUAAUGAUCAAUUUAAAAACAAUUCAAACCGUGUCAAAAUAAAUUUGUUGAUUAUUUUAUUAUUAUUAUCGUUCUAAUAUAAUUUAAUCCAAAUCCAAAUAUAUAAACACCAAUAAUGUGUUCAAUGUACAAUAUCUUAUAAACAAUUAUAUUAUUCUAAAAAAUUAAGCAAAGAGUCUAAAGAAUAAAUUGUUUUGAUACAAUGCACAACAAAUUUUAUGCAUUUUGUAGGUCUUUAAUCAUUUUUUUUCGCCAACAGAUAGCACACAAGGAACCUUCGGCAUUCUGAGGAAACAAAUGCUCUAUCCACUGUGAUACAAGCGCCUUAAUAAUAAAAUGCGUAAAAUCUAUAAAAAAGAAUAAUAGAGAGUCAUUUUUUGUAUUCUUUUGGUUUAAAUUCCAUAUAUUAGUCAUUUUCAU
rnacentral:lncRNA from 1 species